rnacentral:rRNA from 1 species
GUCUUUUUGAUUUUAAUUUAAAGUUUAACCUGCCCAUUGAAAAUUUUUAAAAGGCUGCGGUAUUUUGACUGUACAAAGGUAGCAUAAUCAUUAGUUUUUUAAUUGAAAACUUGUAUGAAUGGUUGAAUGAGAAAUUAACUUUUUUAAAAAAAUAAUUGAAUUUUACUUUUUAAUUAAAAGGUUAAAAUAAAUUUAAAAGACGAGAAGACCCUAUAGAGUUUUAUAAUUUUUAUUUAAUAUUUAAAAAGAUUAAUUAAAAUUUUAUAAAAGAAAAUAUUUUGUUGGGGUGAUAAUAAAAUUUAAAUAACUUUUAUUUUUUUUUUACAUUAAUAUAUGAAUUUAUGAUCCAUUAUUGAUGAUUAGAAAUUUAAAUUACCUUAGGGAUAACAGCGUAAUUUUUUUUAAAAGUUCAUAUUAAUAAAAAAUUUUGCGACCUCGAUGUUGGAUUAAGAUUUAAUUUUAGGUGCAGCAGUUUAAAUUUUAAGUCUGUUCGACUUUUAAAUUCUU